rnacentral:rRNA from 1 species
UACAGAGGUGGCAAGCGUUGUUCGGAAUUACUGGGCGUAAAGGGCUCGUAGGCGGCCAACUAAGUCGGACGUGAAAUCCCUCGGCUUAACCGGGGAACUGCGUCCGAUACUGGAUGGCUUGAGUUUGGGAGAGGGAUGCGGAAUUCCAGGUGUAGCGGUGAAAUGCGUAGAUAUCUGGAGGAACACCGGUGGCGAAGGCGGCAUCCUGGACCAAUAUUGACGCUGAGGAGCGAAAGCCAGGGGAGCAAACGGG